UACGGAGGGGGCUAGCGUUGUUCGGAUUUACUGGGCGUAAAGGGCGCGUAGGCGGCUUGUCAAGUCACUUGUGAAAUCUCUGGGCUUAACCCAGAACGGCCAAGUGAAACUGUCAUGCUAGAGUGCAGAAGGGGCAAUCGGAAUUCUUGGUGUAGCGGUGAAAUGCGUAGAGAUGUGGAGGAACACCGAUGGCGAAGGCAGCCUUCUGGGCCAACACUGACGCUCAUGCACGAAAGCGUGGGGAGCAAACAGG
rnacentral:rRNA from 1 species